CUGAAACCCUGACAUUGCUGAAAUCCACAUUAA
rnacentral:sRNA from 1 species